rnacentral:snRNA from 1 species
AGCUUUGCGCAGUGGCAGUAUCACAGCCAAUGAGCUUUAUCUGAGGUGCAAUUAUUGCUAAUUGAAAACUUUUCCCAAUACCCCGUCAUGACGACUUGAAAUAUAGUCAGCAUUGGCAAUUUUUGGUCUCUAUGGAGA